UCCAAUCCCCGGCCCAAUCCCGUCUCUCCUCCGCCCCUCUCUCCCUGGAUGCGGCGGCGUCUGGGCGUCUCUCUCUGGCUCCCCAAUGGCCCAAUCCCCUCUCUCCUCCUCCGCCCCUCUCUCCCCGCCCCAGCCGCAUGUGAGGCCGGAGAGGGCACUCCCAGGCCGGAGGAGGGUGGAGCCGAACGGAUGGAGCGGGAUGGAUGACCACGACGGGGACGGCCGGGGUCGUGGGCUGCAGGAGCAAGCAUGGAGGGCGGCGGCGCGCCGGCUUGAGAAGGUCAUCCAAAGGCGGCUGGCUCGAGAUCUUCUUCUCUGGUUCGUUAUCUACUCUGCCAUUAAUAGUUGCUAGACGAGACAGAGAAGAGCUGCAGAUCUCGUCAAAAAAUUGGUUGUUCCCUUCUUUGGAGGGGCACUCGGCAGGAGGCAUCCGUCUCGGUUCGUGGGGAGCCGCCGCUAGCCCCAGCCCUUCUCCUCUCGCGCCCCUUUCUCUGUCACCGACCUCGCGCUGCUGCUCUGGUCGACCUCUUCUUCCUGCUUGGUGGCCACCAGGUGAAGCACGAACAGCCGGUACAGAACGCUCAAGCAGUUUCACACACACACGGACACACGAUGCUGCACUCCGGCCACUCCCCAUGUGUGCUUUCCUCUCGCAUAGCUUCUCUCUGCUCUCUCUCCCUGUUAUUAAUGGAGUAGCAGCACAUGUCUCGAAGCGGCCAAGGGCCAAGCAAUAUUUUCUCUCACAUAUGUUUCUUUAUAUUUUCCUUGCCAUUAGGUCAAGUGGAUAUUUCUUCAGUAAAUGGAGUUAGUUUGAUAAUUUCGGUAGCAUGUAUCAGAUUGGGUUGUGUUCGUUCUAAUACAGUUUGGGUUUUCAGAUAUUUUGCACUGCAGUCCACAUGCUCUCGUCCCUGGCAGGAAUAUAUAUGGAGCUAGGCCAAGAUUCAGAUAUUGAUGUCCAGGUCCCAGAGUUGGUUAAUGUUGAUUUUGCUCAGGCACGGUCCAUCUUAGGGAUUAAAGAGAGGUGGCUCAAGCGAUACGGGAUGGUGGCGAGCAGUGGCGACCGCAGUGGACGGUGCAGCAGACUCGACAUGCUUUAGAAAUGGCGGUCAAGACAACAUGUCUUGGGGAGUGGUGUGCCUGUCAAGCGACAGCGUCUGAUUCCGACACAACAAGGACUAUCACUCAAGUCUUAGGAUUUGACGACAUUAUUUCUGGCUGUUAGAUUGUACAACAUCUUUGUUAUGGAUUGUGACACCCACACAAUACUGGAUUCAGCCAGAGAAGGUGGGGAUCUGUGGAGAUCCCAGUAUUGGCAUGUUCCAGUCAGAUUGUCGAGAUCCAAUAGAGAAAAUCAAUAGAAUGAAGGGCAGAAAGAAACUUGCCCACAUAUUUCUUUUUCCAGAAAAUUGAUAUAUUCUCGUGGACUUCAUGGCUGCUG